GGGAGAGGUUAAGAACAGUGGAUAAGGAGUGAAAGGAAGAGGUUAAGAACAGUGGAUAAGGAGUGAAAGGAAGAGGUUAAGAACAGUGGAUAAGGAGUGAAAGGAAGAGGUUAAGAACAGUAGAUAAGGAGUGAAAGGGAGAGGUUAAGAACAGUAGAUAAGGAGUGAAAGGAAGAGGUUAAGAACAGUAGAUAAGGAGUGAAAGGAAGAGGUUAAGAACAGUGGAUAAGGAGUGAAAGGAAGAGGUUAAGAACAGUAGAUAAGGAGUGAAAGGAAGAGGUUAAGAACAGUAGAUAAGGAGUGAAAGGAAGAGGUUAAGAACAGUGGAUAAGGAGUGAAAGGAAGAGGUUAAGAACAGUGGAUAAGGAGUGAAAGGAAGAGGUUAAGAACAGUAGAUAAGGAGUGAAAGGAAGAGGUUAAGAACAGUGGAUAAGGAGUGAAAGGAAGAGGUUAAGAACAGUAGAUAAGGAGUGAAAGGAAGAGGUUAAGAACAGUGGAUAAGGAGUGAAAGGAAGAGGUUAAGAACAGUAGAUAAGGAGUGAAAGGGAGAGGUUAAGAACAGUGGAUAAGGAGUGAAAGGAAGAGGUUAAGAACAGUGGAUAAGGAGUGAAAGGAAGAGGUUAAGAACAGUAGAUAAGGAGUGAAAGGGAGAGGUUAAGAACAGUAGAUAAGGAGUGAAAGGAAGAGGUUAAGAACAGUGGAUAAGGAGUGAAAGGAAGAGGUUAAGAACAGUGGAUAAGGAGUGAAAGGAAGAGGUUAAGAACAGUAGAUAAGGAGUGAAAGGGAGAGGUUAAGAACAGUAGAUAAGGAGUGAAAGGAAGAGGUUAAGAACAGUGGAUAAGGAGUGAAAGGAAGAGGUUAAGAACAGUGGAUAAGGAGUGAAAGGAAGAGGUUAAGAACAGUAGAUAAGGAGUGAAAGGAAGAGGUUAAGAACAGUAGAUAAGGAGUGAAAGGAAGAGGUUAAGAACAGUAGAUAAGGAGUGAAAGGAAGAGGUUAAGAACAGUGGAUAAGGAGUGAAAGGAAGAGGUUAAGAACAGUGGAUAAGGAGUGAAAGGAAGAGGUUAAGAACAGUAGAUAAGGAGUGAAAGGAAGAGGUUAAGAACAGUGGAUAAGGAGUGAAAGGGAGAGGUUAAGAACAGUGGAUAAGGAGUGAAAGGAAGAGGUUAAGAACAGUAGAUAAGGAGUGAAAGGGAGAGGUUAAGAACAGUGGAUAAGGAGUGAAAGGAAGAGGUUAAGAACAGUAGAUAAGGAGUGAAAGGAGGAGGUUAAGAACAGUAGAUAAGGAGUGAAAGGAAGAGGUUAAGAACAGAUAAGGAGUGAAAGGAAGAGGUUAAGAACCGUAGAUAAGGAGUGAAAGGAAGAGGUUAAGAACAGUAGAUAAGGAGUGAAAGGAAGAGGUUAAGAACAGUAGAUAAGGAGUGAAAGGGAGAGGUUAAGAACAGUGGAUAAGGAGUGAAAGGAAGAGGUUAAGAACAGUAGAUAAGGAGUGAAAGGAAGAGGUUAAGAACAGUAGAUAAGGAGUGAAAGGGAGAGGUUAAGAACAGUGGAUAAGGAGUGAAAGGAAGAGGUUAAGAACAGUAGAUAAGGAGUGAAAGGGAGAGGUUAAGAACAGUAGAUAAGGAGUGAAAGGAAGAGGUUAAGAACAGUAGAUAAGGAGUGAAAGGAAGAGGUUAAGAACAGUAGAUAAGGAGUGAAAGGGAGAGGUUAAGAACAGUGGAUAAGGAGUGAAAGGAAGAGGUUAAGAACAGUAGAUAAGGAGUGAAAGGAAGAGGUUAAGAACAGUAGAUAAGGAGUGAAAGGGAGAGGUUAAGAACAGUGGAUAAGGAGUGAAAGGAAGAGGUUAAGAACAGUAGAUAAGGAGUGAAAGGAAGAGGUUAAGAACAGUAGAUAAGGAGUGAAAGGGAGAGGUUAAGAACAGUGGAUAAGGAGUGAAAGGAAGAGGUUAAGAACAGUAGAUAAGGAGUGAAAGGGAGAGGUUAAGAACAGUAGAUAAGGAGUGAAAGGGAGAGGUUAAGAACAGUGGAUAAGGAGUGAAAGGAAGAGGUUAAGAACAGUGGAUAAGGAGUGAAAGGAAGAGGUUAAGAACAGUGGAUAAGGAGUGAAAGGAAGAGGUUAAGAACAGUGGAUAGGGAGGAGGAAAGGAAGGAGUGAAAGGAAUGUCACCCAGCAUGCCUCUACAGACAGACAGACAAACAGGCAGACCUACAGGCAGACAGACAGAAAAGAGGAGACACCACAAUCAAGCUCUUAAAUGUCCCAGCUGAUAGUGACUGUAACUGUGGUUACUCCAAAAGCAACAGGAAGCUUACUGCAGCCUCUCACCUCUGAGGAUUUGGGACAAGAGGAGGAAACCAACCUAAACUACACACAUUACACUGUAUUCACUGGGAACACACACACACACACUGUACAAAGUUAUACAUGAUCUAUGGUAAUAGUUAAUGGGUCAGGUAUAUUCUUUGUAAGUUGUGGAUCUUACUUUGACUCUCCUACACACCUUGGAAACGUUUAAUGCCCUGACUUAAAAACAUUUUGGCCUGUGUGUGUUGGUAGGAUACAGCGGUGUGGCUGGGCUGUUAUGAAGCCGUCCGUCUGUCCUGCCGUACAUACAGGAAAUGGAGCAGUUGGGAACACAUCCAGGCGGCCCGUGCCACUGCGGUCCCCAUUCCAAUGUCAGCCAAGAAUAUCCCUGCCAAGGAAAUUCCCACUUCAAUCCCAAGUCUCAAUUCGACUUGGGCCCAGUUCUCUGGACGCAGGGCUCAGGAACAUUGUAAUUGAAGGAGAGACUGCGACACGAGCUAGAGGGGGAACUAUUUCAGACCUGGAACGCUAUAUCCUAGUCCUAGUGAUCAGAGGGGGAACUAUUCCUGAGACACAAACCAUAUGGGGAACUAUUUCUGAGACACGAGCCAUAUGGGAAACUAUUCCUGAGACUCUGAGACACGAGCCAGAGGGGGAACUAUUCCUGAGACACGAGCCAGAUGGGAAACUAUUCCUGAGACUGAGACACGAGCCAGAUGGGGAACUAUUCCUGAGACACGAGCCAGAUGGGAAACUAUUCCUGAGACUGAGACACGAGCCAGAUGGGGAAAUAUUCCUGAGACACGAGCCAGAUGGGGAACUAUUUCU